AGUAAGAUUUGACGAUAGCCCUCUCUAUUGAGUUAUCUAUAAAUCUAUAUACUAACUCUUACAUUAAAAAAAACACGGAAGUUAACUGUCAUGAGAAAUUUUAACUGAAAAUCAACGAUAAAAGUUUGUUUUUCUAUCGAUGGAGUCGAAACUAUUUACAUUUCUCUUUGCCUUCUUCGCUCAGAUACUAGGCUUGUCCAAGGUGUCUGCUGGAUGUUACAAUAACUAUUUUACCAGUGUCUUCAAAUGCUAUUCCUACAGCUACAACCUGCUCUCAUAUACUUUGGGUACUGGGGCAAUCAUUGGAAUCAUAAUUGGCGCCCUCGCCGGAUUGGCGACGUUGAUUGGAUUCAUCGAGUUUUGUAAUAUAUUCUAUGCAGGAAGCCCACUCAAAACCAGGGUGUUGUUAUCUACAACCCCAAUACAACUACAGGAGCUAUGAUACAAAACCAAUCAGUAAUACAACCUACCAAUCAACAAGGACUAUACCCAGCUAAUUUUGGUCAGAUGCAGCCAACUGGACAAGGCGUAGCAGCCUCUUUAGCAUCACCUAACGAAUACACUCCGCCAAAAUAGUCUACUGAAAAUCGAGAUCCACCACCGAGAUAAAUU